AGAUUCUUUUGACCACAACUUCAUGCCUGUUUAGUGCUAGACACCACAGGAGUUGCAAAGCAGCGCAACCCAAGGACACACUUCCCAAGGCUGAAGUCAUCACAAAAGUCAGGACAGAGCUCCAGAAGGCACUGCACAGGAACACAUGGUUAAGCCUGGCCAACUCCCACACGUCUGCUACCACAGCUACUCUGCAGCCCAGACUGCAGGAUCCAGAAGUUCAAGAAUCUCACUAUAUAUCUCUGGCUCCCUGACUGGACUGGAACUCUAUAUGUAGUCUAGUCUAGCCUUGAUCUCACAGAAAUCUGCACACCUGCUAGGACUGGCCAUGCACACCAUUACACAGGACAAAAUAAAUAUUAAGAAAGAAAGGAUUGGUGAAUGAAUGUACACUUAUGUAUAAAAACCAUCUCUAUUAUAUACCUUUUUUGUGUGUCUCCUGAAUUAAACUAAACUUAACCUACAAAUGUCUGGUCCUAGCUGAUUUUGACAAGAAUACUUCUUAGAAUUGUUGGUGUCUUUGCUGGAACUCCCUGUUCAGUUGGCUCAAGGGUGGGUUUAGGGUUCCAUCUUAAGCUCUAGGACUGUGGAUUCUAUAGUAGCUGUUAGCUGUACAAACUCACUGAGCUCCGGAAGUGUAUGUAAUGUGGCCAGUGGGAUGAAGGAGCUAAACUUUUAACCUUGUUAAGUUUUAAUGUAUUUAAAUUUAAAUUUUCACUCAGUCCCUAUCUAUGCUUGUAAUAAUUUGGAUACGUGAAUCUCUUCAGCCAUCUGUGUUAUGAAACCUUAAAUAUAAUUUAACUCUACAUGGUGAAGGUUUGUUACGUCGACUGAGAUUAUUGUAAGUAUAAAACUACCAAAUCCUGAAGGCCUGUACAGAGUUUUAAAACUCAAUUUGUA
rnacentral:lncRNA from 1 species